ACCUUUCCUAUUUCUGACAGGCCGCGACAUGUUCGCUGUUGAAACAGGACCGAGUAGAGAAGCCAAAGACCAGGACCCCCCCCACCCCGCGCGCUUGGCGCCCCACCCCCCCCGAACUUCGGCCGAUGGGGCCGCUGCCACCGAACCCCGAGCUGCUGGCUUUCCAAACUCCGCCGCUCCUUGGUUCAGGGCCCCUGGAUCAGACGAGCCCCCCGCUCCCCCGUCUCUUCAAAAUGGAUGAAUCAAACCAGCCGA